CUACGGGUCGCAGCAGUGAGGAAUAUUGGACAAUGGGCGAAAGCCUGAUCCAGCGAUACCGCGUGAGUGAAGAAGGCCCUAGGGUUGUAAAACUCUUUCAGCGAGGAAGAUAAUGACGGUACUCGCAGAAGAAGCUCCGGCUAACUCCGUGCCAGCAGCCGCGGUAAUACGGAGGGAGCUAGCGUUGUUCGGAAUUACUGGGCGUAAAGAGCGUGUAGGCGGUAUGUCAAGUUGGGAGUGAAAGCCCGAGGCUUAACCUCGGAACUGCUCUCAAAACUGGCAUACUAGAGAUAGGUAGGGGACAAUGGAAUUCCUAGUGUAGGGGUGAAAUCCGUAGAUAUUAGGAGGAACACCAGAGGCGAAGGCGAUUGUCUGGGCCUUAUCUGACGCUGAGACGCGAAAGCGUGGGGAGCAAACAGGAUUAGAUACCCCAGUAGUC
rnacentral:rRNA from 1 species